GCUCAAAACUGGUACAGUAGAAAGCUUGGAUGUCUUGGUUAAGGAGUUUGUAGCUGCCAGCGAUGAAGAGAAGAAAUCCGUGUUUACCCGAAUGGAAGAGGAAGUUGAGAAGCUGAAGGGUUCUGCCUCAAGGCACGGGAAGAUUUACUUGAAAGCUGCCAAGAAUUACUUG